UACGUAGGGUGCAAGCGUUGUCCGGAAUUAUUGGGCGUAAAGAGCUCGUAGGCGGUUUGUCGCGUCUGCUGUGAAAACCCGAGGCUCAACCUCGGGCCUGCAGUGGGUACGGGCAGACUAGAGUGCGGUAGGGGAGAUUGGAAUUCCUGGUGUAGCGGUGAAAUGCGCAGAUAUCAGGAGGAACACCGAUGGCGAAGGCAGCUGCCUGGCCUAGAACUGACCGCUGAGGUGCGAAAGCGUGGGGAGCGAACAGG
rnacentral:rRNA from 1 species